AUUGAACGCUGGCGGCAGGCCUAACACAUGCAAGUCGAGCGAGCGGCGGACGGUUGAGUAAUGUAUGGGGAUCUGCCCGAUAGAGGGGGAUAACUACUCGAAACGGUAGCUAAUACCGCAUACCAUAGGAUGAGCCCAAGUGGGAUUAUGUAGUUGGUGAGGUAAAGGCUCACCAAGCCGACGAUCUCUAGCUGGUCUGAGAGGAUGAUCAGCCACACUGGGACUGAGACACGGCCCAGACUCCUACGGGAGGCAGCAGUGGGGAAUAUUGCACAAUGGGCGCAAGCCUGAUGCAGCCAUGCCGCGUGUAUGAAGAAGGCCUUAGGGUUGUAAAGUACUUUCAGCGGGGAGGCGUUAACCGCAGAAGAAGCACCGGCUAACUCCGUGCCAGCCGCCGCGGUAAUAG
rnacentral:rRNA from 1 species